GACGAACGCUGGCGGCGUGCUUAACACAUGCAAGUCGAACGGAAAGGCCCUGCUUUUGUGGGGUGCUCGAGUGGCGAACGGGUGAGUAACACGUGAGUAACCUGCCCUUGACUUUGGGAUAACUUCAGGAAACUGGGGCUAAUACCGGAUAGGAUCUCCUGCUGCAUGGUGGGGGUUGGAAAGUUUCGGCGGUUGGGGAUGGACUCGCGGCUUAUCAGCUUGUUGGUGGGGUAGUGGCUUACCAAGGCUUUGACGGGUAGCCGGCCUGAGAGGGUGACCGGCCACAUUGGGACUGAGAUACGGCCCAGACUCCUACGGGAGGCAGCAGUGGGGAAUAGUGCACAAUGGGCGGAAGCCUGAUGCAGCAACGCCGCGUGCGGGAUGACGGCCUUCGGGUUGUAAACCGCGUUCGCCUGUGACGAAGCGUGAGUGACGGUAAUGGGUAAAGAAGCACCGGCUAACUACGUG
rnacentral:rRNA from 1 species